CAUAAAGAUGGCUGCGAUCCAAUGGGCUCUGCACUGUGACAGACACUGGCGAGGGCGUGGGGAAGCACAUGAGGGGCAAUCAGGAAGACCUUCUAGAUAGUGACUUGACUGUGAGUCCUGACUAGUGCCUGAUGAAGGUCAAGAAGAGUGUUUUAACCAAGAAGGAUCAGCAUGAACAAAGGCAAGGAAAAAUGAAUCAGGUUAUAUGAAACUCUGGAAUGGGGAGGUUUGCAGGUGACAUUGGAGAAAUAGGGAAGCCCAGGGCAUGGAAAAUCUUGUCUACCAUGCUCCAGGGGUUGACAGGGGAGCUGCUAGAGGACUCUGAGAACAGAUUUUCAAGAGAGAGACCAUCUCUCGUAUUCCCAUCCACAACUCAAAUUUCAGGGGAUUUUUUUUUUUAAUUUAAACCUGUUGAGAGGUUUUAAGACUGAUUAAACAAACAAAAACUCCACUGUAUAACCUUCACCUAUAUUCACCAUUUUUUUUUUUUGUACCAGGGAUUGAACUCAGGGGCACUUGACCACUGAGCCACAUCCCCAGCCCUUUUUGUAUUUUAUUUAGAGACAGAGUCUCACUGAGUUGCUUAGCACCUCACUUUUGCUGAGGCUGGCUUUGACCUCGAGAUUCUCCUGUCUCAGCCUCAGCCUCUGAAGCUGCUGGGAUUACAGGCGUGCACCACUGUGCCCGGCUUCACCAAUUUGUUAACAUUUUGCUACAUUUGCAUUUUUAAAAUACACACACACACACACACAUACACAUACAUACACACAGUUCCCCCACACAUCUGAAAGUUUCAAGCAUAACACUUUUAUCUCUACAUACUUUAGCAUGUGUCUUCUGGGUACAAAGACAUUCCCCUACAUAGCCAUGAUAUAAUAAUCAAAUCCAGGAAAUUUGACUACUACAUAAGGCUUUUAUCUACUCUAUAGUCCAUAUCCAUAUUUCCCAUGUAUCCUAGUACUGUCCUUUAUAGCUG
rnacentral:lncRNA from 1 species